GUCUUAUUAACUUAAAAUUUUCUUUGAGAAAAUAACAUUGACUAUGAUCUCUUUCUUUAUAAUGUUUGCUAUGAGCAAUUCAAGUCAAUCCUACCUUGCUGUAAGUUGUUAGCUAAAGUUAUUAAACUCCAUUACUGUAACAUUAGCCCUUAAUGUUAAACAUACUUUAAAGGCAGGCAAAUAGGUUUUUACCCUCCAAUUUUAAUCUAGCAAAUUAAAAGCUAAUAUGUUAGCCAAAGUUAUCCUUUAUGUGCAUUAUUUUGCAACUUGGCUGAUGUGACAUGGUGCUUGUGUUCAUUGCUUUAACAACUUUAGCUACAUUUUAGCCUAAGGACACAUGGUUGGGAGUAGGGGUGGGGGGGUCAACGUUGGCUAAUGAAGACAUGCUACAGGUGUGGAGGAUGAUAAUGAGGACCAGCCACCGGAGAAAGAAGUCCCUGUUUGACCAAAGAGAAAGAAGCAGAUGAAAUAUUCUCCAAGAAAAUUAGUGACCAUAGUGGAUUGAGUCAUCACCCACUAUAAAAAUGUCCAGAAGAGAUUCACCAAGUUUGAAUUCAUGAAAAGGCUUUCACCAUGAUUAACAUUGACCACAACCAUAGCAAGAACAGCUAUAAUUUCGAGCAUUUCCAGACACCUUUAAAGUGCUGCUUCCAGGAAAUUAAGACAAGAUGAAGAUCUCCCUGUUUUCAGAGCGUUACAGGAAGGCUAUAACAAAGGAGAUGGCUGACACAAUUAAAGCAAAAAAUGUUAGGACUGUUUAAAGAACCUAUUUUCUUAAGUUAAAGAAUAAUGUAAUUCUGUUUGUUUUUCAAUCAGUAUUUCAGAGUUACAUUAUACUGACCAGAAGUUAAAUCUUCUGUUUGAAGAACAAGUAAUGCUUUGUUUAAUUCCAAUGUACAAAGAGUUUGUUCUUCAGCUAUGAUGGUAGUUAUAAAUAGUCUAGUGUUUUCCACUUCACUUGAGGUAAAACUUAGUAUUAAUGACUGUUAAUAUAGGACUUGACACUGUAAUGACAAUUAAUGAAAUCUUUAUAACUGUUGCUACUUGUUUCACUUUAAUUGAGGUAAGAGUUAACAUUAAUGACAUUGUAAUAACACUUAAUGACAUGUCCAUAACUGGUGCUACUUGUUCCACUUGAUGUAAGAGGAAUUAUUAAUGACUCUGUUAUUAAAAUAUUUGACAGUGUAAUAAACAGUGAAAUCUUUA